UACGUAGGGACCAAGCGUUGUCCGGAAUCAUUGGGCGUAAAGAGCGUGUAGGCGGCUUGUUAAGUCUUGCGUGAAAUCUCGGGGCUCAACCCCGAGCGGUCGUGAGAAACUGGCAGGCUAGAGUGCGGGAAAGGAGAGUGGAAUUCCUGGUGUAGCGGUGAAAUGCGCAGAUAUCAGGAGGAACACCAGUGGCGAAGGCA
rnacentral:rRNA from 1 species